rnacentral:rRNA from 1 species
GACGUAGGGGGCGAGCGUUGUCCGGAUUAAUUGGGCGUAAAGCGCGCGUAGGCGGCCCGGUAAGUCGGAUGUGAAAUCUCACGGCUCAACCGUGGAACUGCAUUCGAUACUGUCGGGCUAGAGGCAGGUAGGGGAGAUCGGAAUUCCCGGUGUAGCGGUGAAAUGCGCAGAUAUCGGGAGGAACACCGGUGGCGAAGGCGGAUCUCUGGGCCUGUCCUGACGCUCAGGCGCGAAAGCUAGGGGAGCAAACAGG